rnacentral:rRNA from 1 species
AACGUAGGAGACAAACGUUAUCCGGAGUUACUGGGCGUAAAGGGCGUGUAGGCGGUUUGUUAAGUCUGGCGUGAAAGCUCUCGGCUAAACCGGGAGAGGUCGUUGGAUACUGGCAAACUAGAGGAUGGUAGAGGCGUGUGGAAUUCCGGGUGUAGCGGUGAAAUGCGUAGAUAUCGGGAGGAACACCAGUGGCGAAGGCGACUACCUGGCCUGUUCUUGACGCUGAGGCGCGAAAGCUAGGGGAGCAAACGGG